GAACUCGGAGAUAGCUGGUUCUCCUCGAAAUAGCUUUAGGGCUAGCGUCGUGUUAGUAGCACAUGGGGGUAGAGCUCUGUAAAGGACUGGGGCGGGCAACUGUACCCACCCUUAACAAACUACGAAUACCAUGUGUGUAAUCACGGCAGUUAGAACAUCGGUGCUAAGAUCGGUGCUCAAAAGGGAAACAGCCCAGACCAUCAUCUAAGGUCCCUAAAUUAACGUUCAGUGGGAAACAAGGUGAGAUUUCUUAAACAGCUAGGAUGUUGGCUUAGAAGCAGCCAUUCAUUUAAAGAGUGCGUAACAGCUCACUAGUCAAGAGAUCUUGCGUGGAAAAUGUAACGGGGCUAAAACGUUAUACCGAAGAUAUGGAUGUCAGAUUUAUCUGGCGUGGUAGAGGAGCGUUCCUAUCAGCAGUGAAGUCGAAUCGGAAGGUUCGGUGGAGCGUUAGGAAGUGAGAAUGCUGGAAUGAGUAACCAUAAGAGAGGUGAGAAUCCUCUCGGCCGUAAGAGCAAGGUUUCCUGAGCCAUGGUAAUCAUCUCAGGGUUAGUCGGGCCUAAGCCGAGGCGCAGAGCGUAGGCGAUGGACAUCAGGUUAAUAUUCCUGAACCGGUUAAGUUUUGUACACUGUUCACGGGGAAGUAAUCGAAGCGGAUUCAUGGUUUAUCCGUCCAACCGAGCGGGAACGCAAAGGGAGUGAAAGUGAUUCUUCGGAGUCGCGAUUUUGGUGAAAGCCCUGGCUAGAAAAGCAGGUGUACGCGUGGACUUAGCCGCCCGUACCGCAAACCAACACAGGUGCUCGAGUCGAGUAGACUCAGGCUUACGAGCGAACCUUCGCUAAGGAACUCGGCAAUACAGCGACCGUAACUUCGGGAUAAGGUCUGCCCCCACUUCGGUGGAUAUCAGCCGCGUUCACUCAGUGAAUAUUAGGUUAAAGAGUACAUUUUUAAUCACAAAACGAAUUUUCUGAGAUAGAGCAAACGAAUUGUUCUUUUGAACGCGAACCUCUGACGUCUAACGAUGUGGGGGCCGCAGCAAAAGAGCCCACGGAACUGUUUAUCAAAAACACAGGUCUCUGCUAACACGAAAGUGGAUGUAUAGGGGCUGACUCCUGCCCAAUGCUGGAAGGUUAAGGGGAGCGCUUCACGGUGCGAACUGAAGCCCUAGUCAAUGGCGGCGGUAACUAUAACCGUCCUAAGGUAGCGAAAUUCCUUGUCAGGUAAGUUCUGACCCGCACGAAUGGAGUAAUCAUGUGGGCACUGUCUCAGCGAAGGACUCGGUGAAAGUGCAUUGGCGGUAAAGAUGCCGUCUGUCCAUGCCAGGACGAGAAGACCCCAUGGAGCUUUACUACAGCUUUACAUUGACACGGGUUACAUCAUGUGUAG
rnacentral:rRNA from 1 species